AUUGAACGCUGGCGGCAUGCCUUACACAUGCAAGUCGAACGGCAGCACGGGUGCUUGCACCUGGUGGCGAGUGGCGAACGGGUGAGUAAUAUAUCGGAACGUACCUUAUUGUGGGGGAUAACGCAGCGAAAGCUGUGCUAAUACCGCAUAAUCCCUAAGGGGGAAAGCGGGGGACCGUAAGGCCUCGCGCACUUAGAGCGGCCGUUACCUGAUUAGCUAGUUGGUGAGGUAAAGGCUCACCAAGGCAACGAUCAGUAGCUGGUCUGAGAGGACGAUCAGCCACACUGGGACUGAGACACGGCCCAGACUCCUACGGGAGGCAGCAGUGGGGAAUUUUGGACAAUGGGGCAACCCUGAUCCAGCAAUGCCGCGUGAGUGAAGAAGGCCUUCGGGUUGUAAAGCUCUUCUGUCAGGGAAGAAACAGCAGCUCUAACACAGUAUGCGAAUGACGGUACCUGAAGAAUAAGCACCGGCUAACUACGUGCCAGCAGCCGCCGUAA
rnacentral:rRNA from 1 species